AACGAACGCUGGCGACAUGCCUAACACAUGCAAGUCGAACGAGACCUUCGGGUCUAGUGGCGCACGGGUACGUAACGCGUAGGAACCUGCCCUUAGGGUCGGAAUAACUCCCCGAAAGGGGUUCUAAUACCGGAUAAUGUCUUCGGACCAAAGAUUUAUCGCCUUUGGAUGGGCCCGCGUUGGAUUAGCUAGUUGGUAGGGUAAAAGCCUACCAAGGCGACGAUCCAUAGCUGGUCUGAGAGGAUGAUCAGCCACACUGGGACUGAGACACGGCCCAGACUCCUACGGGAGGCAGCAGUGGGGAAUAUUGGACAAUGGGCGAAGGCCUGAUCCAGCCAUGCCGCGUGAGUGAUGAAGGCCUUAGGGUUGUAAAGCUCUUUUACCCGGGAUGAUAAUGACAGUACCGGGAGAAUAAGCUCCGGCUAACUCCGUG
rnacentral:rRNA from 1 species